rnacentral:rRNA from 1 species
UACGGGGGGAGCAAGCGUUGUUCGGAUUUACUGGGCGUAAAGGGCGCGUAGGCGGUCAGCACAAGUCUGUCGUGAAAUCUCCGAGCCCAACUCGGAAACUGCGUCGGAUACUAUUCGGCUAGAGGAAUGGAGGGGAGACUGGAAUUCUCGGUGUAGCAGUGAAAUGCGUAGAUAUCGAGAGGAACACCAGUGGCGAAGGCGAGUCUCUGGACAUUUCCUGACGCUGAGGCACGAAAGCCAGGGGAGCAAACGGG